AUAUUUAUAUAAUAUUUUUAUGUUAAUGACUUGAAAAAAAAUAUGUUUUUAAGAUAUAUUGAACUGUGAUGUUGUUAUAACAUAUAUUGUACAUGGUGUUUUUUUGUGUGCAGAAAUUUUUAAUAUUGUGCAUAGUGUUUUUUUGUUAUAUAUGUUCUUUAAAAUAUAUUUAUAUGUUAUUUAAAAUCUAUUAUUAACAUAUUUGGGAAAAUAAUUUUUUGUGUCCCCGUAUUUAAGAUAUAGUUUACUAUGUUUUAAAAAUAUAUGGUCAAUUUAAAUUAACUGAGAUUAGAUUUAUUUUAAUAGAGUAGAUUAUAAUUUUAAAACAAAAAAGCCUGAUUUUGUUUAUCUCAUUAAACUCAACAUAGAUGUUUUUAUUCAUCUUUUUAAAUGGAAAGAAGUCUGAACUUUGUCUCAUAAAUGGGUCAACCUUAAGUCCAACAUAAAACCAUGCAACAUAUAUGUUUUAUGGGCACUAUUUUGUUUCUUAUAUUUUAUACGUGAUGAUCCAUUAAAUUUUCAAGCAUUAUAUUUGUUGUUACAGAAAUGGCCCAUUAGUUAAAAACGUAUUAGAUUCAUCGAAAGGUAAAAUAAGGCCACACCUUUUUUUUCCGGGAAGCAAAACCACUUUUAACGUUUUCUUGAAAAAAUCAACAACCUUUUUUUCUUUGCUUCUCCGUCGGUGGUUCUCAGUUCGAGACAAUACUCAUCUCUGUAAUCACCAACAAAAAUUCUUUAAAAGUAUAUCAAAUCCAGGAUAAACACCGUUCAGUCAAUCACCAAACUCAAUCGAUAACUGAGUUCUCGGUAAGUUUUUAUAAUUUUCUGAUUGUAAACGAUCCGGGUUAACGAUCAGGUUUCGUUAUCUAAAAAUCUGGUUCUUACUCAUAUCGAUAGAUCUCUUAGAUCUAUCUCUAGAUCCAUCAUCAUUAUUAUCUUCUUACUCAGUUUUGUUUCUAUUAAUUUGUCUUGCUCGCGGUAAGCUGAAAAAGGAACUUGGUAUUUUAUUAGGUAAUUGGCCAGGAUUGUUUAAACGAUGGAUCUUUAAAAAGACAAAAGCAGAGUAGAAGACAAACCUGACAGAGAUUUUAAAAAGUUAAGUCUGACCUGAAAUAUAAUCAUAGUACAUAUGUUCACAUCAACACAGUUUUAUUUAUUCUCUUGUUGAUCUUUUGCUAUGUUUUCGUUUAUAUUAUUUCCUUGUUCUUAUUUUUUUUUGUCUUUUCAUCUCAUAUAUUGAUAGGUCAUUGAUAAGGGUUGUAUGCCAGAGAAACUGGGGAAUACAGCUUUGGAACAAUUCACAAAAUAAACUACAGAAACAAAGAUUGGGAACGCAGCCGAUGACCAUCAUCCUCAAACCGAGGUUGAUGCUUUCUUUUCAUCCUCUUCAUUGAAGGGCUAUGUUAGCAGAAACUACACGGUUUGUUCUCAGUUACAUGCACUGGAACUGAGGAAUAGUAUAAUCACCUUUAAAACAAAGUUGAUAGGAUGCAAAUAUAGAUUUAUCAAACAAUCUACUUUGGCUUAUUUACUAAAGGGAGUUCAACAACAGCUUAUUAAAGGUGGAAUUGGUGACGUUGGAGUUGCUGAUGAUCGACAUUUUGUACUUAUGACUUGUCGGUCGGUACUUUCCGGCAGCUGCGGUUAGUGAGAAAUUUUCAAUGAACCUCCAUUGUCCAACUUGAAGUUUCUUAACACGAGCAAAGAAGAGUCUCUUGCAGCAAGAAUGAACUGAAGAGAAUCUCCACCAGAAUAAGAUGAAUGUUGUGUCCAUGAAUGCAGGACUUUAACUUCGACCUUCCAAGAUGUUUUGUAUGGUUUGACAUCAUUGAGCAAAGUCAUCGUCGGGUCUGAGGUAAUCAUAGCCAUACGAGUGUACGUUUUUUUUUUUGCGGACAUAGGAGGUAUUAGUUGAUCGUCUUAUUAUUUAUAGUGAUCAUUAAACGUUUAGGUUUAAUGAUAGCGUGCUGAAGAUUUGAUUUGAUAUCCAUAUAGUUAAAUUCGAUAGAAUAUUCUGAUUA